rnacentral:rRNA from 1 species
GGCAAGCUUGACUUGGUCGGCCAAAAGCCGUACUGAGCGAGCUUGCCUUACCUUCUGGGUCACUUGGGUGCUCUUAACUGAGUGCCCAAGCUGUCCAGGACCUUUACCUUGAAAAAAUUAGAGUGUUUAAGGCAGGCUUACGCUUGAAUACAUUAGCAUGGAAUAACGAAAUAGGACGCGCGGUUCUAUUUUGUUGGUUUCUAGAGUCGCCGUA